rnacentral:rRNA from 1 species
UACGGGGGGGGCAAGCGUUGUUCGGAAUUACUGGGCGUAAAGGGCCAGUAGGCGGCCUGCUAAGUCGAACGUGAAAUCCCUGGGCUCAACCCAGGAACUGCGUCCGAUACUGGUUGGCUUGAAUCCGGGAGAGGGAUGUGGAAUUCCAGGUGUAGCGGUGAAAUGCGUAGAUAUCGAGAGGAACACCUGCGGCGAAGGCGGGUUGCUGGGCUGACACUGACGCUGAUGCGCGAAAGCUAGGGGAGCGAACGGG